UACGGAGGGUGCAAACGUUAUCCGGAAUCACUGGGCGUAAAGCGCAUGUAGGUGGUUUGGUAAGUGGGUGAUUAAAGACCGAUGCUUAACAUCGGGACUGUUGCCUAAUACUGCUUGACUUGAGGAUGACAGGGGGUAAGCGGAACUUUAGGUGUAGGAGUGAAAUCCGUAGAUAUCUAAAGGAACACCAAUGGCGAAGGCAGCUUAACUGGGUUUUUCCUGACACUGAGAUGCGAAAGCGUGGGAGCGAACGGG
rnacentral:rRNA from 1 species